CUCUCUCUCUCCGCAGGCGCGCGCGUUACUUAUUCUUAUUCAUUCAAGUGCAAAAACAGCUGUAAACGAAAUUGCGGCUCUCGCGCGUCGCGGAACGAAAACAAAAACAUCGUCUUCCCUUCUUUUUUUUUCCUUCUUUUUCUUUCCCUUCUUUCUCUGACACUAAGCGAACUAAAAGAAAGCUGAACUUCGCCGCUCGACGCUGUGUGUCCACUCUGUCCACUCCGGGAGAGCUGGGAGUCGGUGAGGGGGGGUGGGGGGUGAGGGGGGCUGUUUUUGUUUCUCUCUCUCUUUUUUUUUUUUUUUGGGGCCGGCCUCCUUGAAAAGUAGUGGCGCGCGCGCCUGGCCUCGCCGCCUAUGUCUGUUUAUUUUUUUCAAAGCUCCCUUCCUCGCUCGCGCGCGCUCCCUUCUUUCCCUUUACCGAGCACGAGGGGAAGAAGAAGUGGAGGAAGAAGAAGGGAAAAAGGAGGAUGAUGAUGGUGAUGAUGGUGAUGAUGAUGAUGGUGAUGAUGACGCUGCGCACCGAUUGAGAUUCCGGUGAUGACAUCAUCCCUCAGAGCGCUCUACGUGGCAACCCACAGGUCAGAGGCCCUAAUGCUCAUGGUUACAUUGCCGAACACUCGGCAGCUCGCUGAACGCUUCUUAAAGUGUUUGGUCACUCUGGUCCUUUCAUAUUCCCACGCAUGAAGUACCGACGUUGCAAGUUUUAAAUCUUAAUGGAAAUAUGGAUAAUUGUGGAAAUAUAUGAAUGCAUUACCAUUCAAAAGUUUGGAAUGAAUGUUUUCGAUCAUAUUAAACCAGUACGGUUACAGAUACAUGCAUA